UACGAAAGGAGCAAGUGUUAUUCAGAUUAACUGGGCGUAAAGGGCUCGUAGGCGGUUUGUCGCGUCGGGAGUGAAAAUCCAGGGCUUAACUCUGGACUGGCUUCCGAUACGGGCAGACUAGAGGUAUGCAGGGGAGAACGGAAUUCCUGGUGUAGCGGUGAAAUGCGCAGAUAUCAGGAGGAACACCGGUGGCGAAGGCGGUUCUCUGGGCAUUACCUGACGCUGAGGAGCGAAAGUGUGGGGAGCGAACAGG
rnacentral:rRNA from 1 species